UGUGGCCAUAUCCCAUUGUGACAAGUUCUCAUGCAAUCACUGAAGUUAAGCAACUUUGACCAUGGUCAGUAUCUAGAUGGGUGACCAUUUGGGAACACCAGGUACUGUAUG